GAUGAACGCUGGCGGCGUGCCUAAUACAUGCAAGUCGAGCGAAUGGAUUAAGAGCUUGCUCUUAUGAAGUUAGCGGCGGACGGGUGAGUAACACGUGGGUAACCUGCCCAUAAGACUGGGAUAACUCCGGGAAACCGGGGCUAAUACCGGAUAACAUUUUGAACCGCAUGGUUCGAGAUUGAAAGGCGGCUUCGGCUGUCACUUAUGGAUGGACCCGGGUCGCAUUAGCUAGUUGGUGAGGUAACGGCUCACCAAGGCAACGAUGCGUAGCCGACCUGAGAGGGUGAUCGGCCACACUGGGACUGAGACACGGCCCAGACUCCUACGGGAGGCAGCAGUAGGGAAUCUUCCGCAAUGGACGAAAGUCUGACGGAGCAACGCCGCGUGAGUGAUGAAGGCUUUCGGGUCGUAAAACUCUGUUGUUAGGGAAGAACAAGUGCUAGUUGAAUAAGCUGGCACCUUGACGGUACCUAACCAGAAAGCCACGGCUAACUACGUGCCAGCCGCCGCUGUAA
rnacentral:rRNA from 1 species